rnacentral:rRNA from 1 species
GACGAACGCUGGCGGCGUGCUUAACACAUGCAAGUCGAACGGAAAGGCCCUGCUGUUGUGGGGUGCUCGAGUGGCGAAAGGGUGAGUAACACGUGAGUAACCUGCCCUUGACUUUGGGAUAACUUCAGGAAACUGGGGCUAAUACCGGAUAGGAGCUCCUGCUGCAUGGUGGGGGUUGGAAAGUUUCGGCGGUUGGGGAUGGACUCGCGGCUUAUCAGCUUGUUGGUGGGGUAGUGGCUUACCAAGGCUUUGACGGGUAGCCGGCCUGAGAGGGUGACCGGCCACAUUGGAACUGAGAUGCGGCCCGGACCCCUACGGGAGGCAGCGGAGGGGAAGAUUGCACAAUGGGCUGAAGCCUGAUGCAGCACCGCCGCGUGCGGGAUGACAGCAUUCAGGUUGUAAACCGCUGUCGCCUGUGACGAAGCGUGAGUGACGGUAAUGGGUAAAGAAGCACCGGCUAACUACGUG